UCAUAAAGCCCUGUCAUGUCAGUUAGAGUGAGUAGUUAGAAAAGCUUGGGUGUGUAUUUUACACAUACCCAAAAGCUAGAGAAAUGAACGUAAGUAUAUCCACCAUCUUUUCUGAUGAUUAAUUUAUCCCCCAUUUCACCUUUACUACAUUCCUGCCUACUACCUACCUCUAAAUUAGGGAGUUCAUCUGAGACAUUUCAUCUGUAAUCAAUACAUCUUAAAAAGAUGUGCCCACAAUAACACACACAUAAUAACACAUGCAUAAUAGAGGACUAAUUUAAAAGAGCACUUAGACAUAAUUGUCAUUAUCCUGGUUAAAUACAGAUAAGACCCAUGGACGUGUGUGUGUGUGUGUGUGUGUGUGUGUGUGUGUGUGUGUGUGUGUGUGUGUGUGUGUGUUUAAGUACAAAAACAAAACUGGUACACUGAAAGAAGUAGAAGGAAAGGGGCAGACUAGCUAGAGACCCUGGGAGUCAACAACAGGGGUUCCUGUGGAUAUUCUUGUUACUUUGUAAACUCUGCUCUCACUAGAGAAACCAACAGCUGGGAAGUGCUGCAUGCAGAAGGAAAUGAGAAAGAAGAUGUGGUUAAAAGUGUUCAGAGAAAAAAUUUCUAUACAUUUCCCAAUUUGGCGAAUGACAUAUGAAACUUGUCAAGCUCAAACAAAAUGCCCCAGAAUGCAAGGUAACUUCCAAGAACUAAAGAAAAAAAAAUCUUGAAAGUAAUGAGCAAGGACAUAUUCCAGGACAAACAGUUCAAAUGACUGGAUUUAUCAGAAUCCAUAAAGAUGGGAAGGGAGUGCUGCAGACUGCACGGUCGCCAAAAGAAUUCAGCGAGAACAUAAUUCAGUGGGAGAGAGCACCAUGACAGUCUUGGACGCAGGAAAGCCAAGAGAACCUGUUGGCAGCUGACCUGACUAAUAGCCUGGCCAAAGCUCUUAAAAGAAAUGAAAUGUUU
rnacentral:lncRNA from 1 species